rnacentral:tRNA from 1 species
GAAUUUAUGUUAUGUGAGCC